UCGUAGACAACAACAACUAAACAUUUUGGAUGCAAACGACGAAGUAGAGGGUUCCUCUUAUGGUACUGGAAUAGAUGACACGAUAUAAUUUGGACCAGAGAUAUCUUGUACACCGCCAAGCACUUUUUUUUGGAGGUCUCUCCGCAGAUCAUCUACAGGAGCUAGGGGAUCCAAUAUUUUUUUAAAUAAACCGCUGAUUGUUAAAGUACAUUAAAUUCUCUUUAAGUACAUUUUUUCAAUUAAUGUAUAAAAUAAAAUGCCUCGUCGGAAAAAAUUCACAAAAAAA
rnacentral:lncRNA from 1 species